UACAGAGGUCUCGAGCGUUGUUCGGAUUCAUUGGGCGUAAAGGGCGCGUAGGCGGCGGGGUAAGUCUGGUGUGAAAUCUCGGAGCUCAACUCCGAAAUUGCACUGGAUACUGCUCUGCUAGAGGGCUGGAGAGGAGAUCCGGAAUUCACGGUGUAGCAGUGAAAUGCGUAGAUAUCGUGAGGAAGACCAGUGGCGAAGGCGGGUCUCUGGACAGUUCCUGACGCUGAGGCACGAAGGCCAGGGGAGCAAACGGG
rnacentral:rRNA from 1 species